rnacentral:rRNA from 1 species
UACAGAGGGUGCGAGCGUUAAUCGGAAUUACUGGGCGUAAAGCGUGCGUAGACGGUUAUUUAAGUCGGAUGUGAAAGCCCUGGGCUCAACCUGGGAAUUGCAUUCGAGACUGAAUAGCUAGGGUACGGUAGAGGGAAGUGGAAUUUCCGGUGUAGCGGUGAAAUGCGUAGAUAUCGGAAGGAACAUCAGUGGCGAAAGCGACUUCCUGGACCAGUACCGACGUUCAGGCACGAAAGCGUGGGGAGCAAACAGG